GACGAGGGACCCUAGCGUUGUUCGGAAUCAUUGGGCGUAAAGCGGGUGUAGGUGGCUUUGUAAGUCAGGUGUGAAAGCCCAGGGCUCAACCCUGGAAGUGCAUUUGAUACUGCGAAGCUUGAGUGCCGGAGAGGUUACUGGAAUAGCCUGGUGUAGUGGUGAAAUACGUAGAUAUCAGGUGGAACACCGGAGGCGAAGGCGGGUAACUGGCCGGACACUGACACUCAGACCCGAAAGCGUGGGGAUCAAACAGG
rnacentral:rRNA from 1 species